rnacentral:misc_RNA from 1 species
UAUUUUUUAACCGACUGCCAAAAAAGGAGGAGGUUCUCAAUUCGACUGUAUUUUUUUUUUCUGUAUGUUACAUCAGAACUUUUGACUGGGUGGAGCGAUUUCGGCAAAUUUUCUUUAAAUCGAAAGGUGGUGUGUGCCAAUUGGUCCCAUUUAAAUUUAUUUGAGAUCUAACAACUACUUUUCGAGCUAUAUCUAAUAAUGCGUUUUUACUUGACGCUUUUUUCGUCGACCUACGUUGUAUUAUACCGCAUAACUUUCUACUGGAUGUACCGAUGUUGAUAAUUCUUUUUUUGUUGGAAAGGAGAUAUCCCAUGUUUAGUACCAUGAUAAGGAAACCAGGAUCUGAUGAUGGGAUCCCAGAGAAAUUGAUAGAAAUUCUUGAAAAUCCGCAAUAACUUUUUACUGGGUGUACUGAUUUUGAUAAUUCUUUUUUUGUUGGAAAGAAGAUAUCCUUAGUUUAGUACCAUGAUAAGGAAACCAGGAUCUGAAGAUGGGAUCACAGAGAAAUCGAGGGAACUUCUUGAAAAUCCGCAAUAACUUUUUACUGGGUGUACCGAUUUUAAUAAUUUUUAACCGACUUCCAAAAAAGGAGGAGGUUCUCAAUUCGACUGUAUUUUUAUUUUUUUAUUUUUAUGUAUGUUACAUCAGAACUUUUGCCCGUGUGGACCGAUUUCGACAAAUUUUGUUUUAAUCGAAAGGUGGUGUGUGCCAAUUGGUCCCAUUUAAAUUUAUUUGAGAUCUAACAACUACUUAUCGAGUUAUAUCUAAUAAUGUGUUUUUACUUGACGCUUUUUUCGUCGACCUAUGUUGUAUUAUACCGCAUAACUUUCUACUGGAUGUACCGAUUUUGAUAAUUCUUUUUUUGUUGGAAAGUUGAUAUCCUUAGUUUAGUACCAUGAUAAGGAAACCAGGAUCUGAUGAUGGGAUCCUAGAGAAAUCGAGGGAAACUCUUGAAAAUCUGCAAUAACUUUUUACUGGGUGUACCGAUUUUGAUAAUUCUUUUUUUGUUGGAAAGAAAAUAUCCUUAGUUUAGUACCAUGAUAAGGAAACCAGGAUCUGAUGAUGGGAUCCCAGAGAAAUCGAGGGAAACUCUUGAAAAUCCG